rnacentral:rRNA from 1 species
CACUUCUAAGGAAGGCAGCAGGCGCGCAAAUUACCCAAUCCUGACUCAGGGAGGUAGUGACAAGAAAUAACAAUAAACCGGCUUAUGCCGGUUUAAUUGGAAUGAGUACAAUUUAAACAUCUUAACGAGGAACAAUUGGAGGGCAAGUCUAGUGCCAGCAGCCGCGGUAAUUCCCGCUCCAAUAGCGUAUACUAAAGUUGUUGCAGUUAAAAAGCUCGUAGUUGGAUUUCUGUGGGGACGGAGCGGCCGGCCGCACAUCGCGGUUCGAGCUAGCGCUUUCCCUACAUCCUGCCGCGAACCGUGCUACCAUUAGUUUGGUGGCGCUGGGGAUCGGCUCGAUUACUUUGAGAAAAAUAGAGUGUUCAAAGCAGGCCACAUGCCUUGAAUAAGUUAGCAUGGAAUAAUAACUAAGGACUUCGGUUCUAUUUUGUUGGUGUUCGGGACUGAAGUAAUGAUUGAUAGGGACAGUUGGGGCGGUCUGUAUUCCAAAGCGAGAGGUGAAAUUCUUAGACCUUCGGAAGACAAACAGCUGCGAAAGCGUUCCGCAAGGAUGUUCCCUUUGAUCAAGAACGAAAGUUGGGGGAUCGAAGACGAUCAGAUACCGUCGUAGUCUCAACUAUAAACUAUACCAGCUAGGGAUCGGCCAACGUUAUUUUAUACCGACUUGGUCGGCACCUUAUGAGAAAUCAAAGCAUCUGGGUUCCGGGGGGAGUAUGGUCGCAAGGCUGAAACUUAAAGGAAUUGACGGAAGGGCACCACCAGCCGUGGAGCCUGUGGCUUAAUUUGACUCAACACGGGAAAACUUACCAGGUCCAGACAUAGUAAGGAUUGACAGAUUGAUAGCUCUUUCUUGAUUCUGUGGGUGGUGGUGCAUGGCCGUUCUUAGUUGGUGGAGUGAUUUGUCUGGUUAAUUCCGUUAACGAACGAGACCCCAGCCUGCUAAAUAGCGCGCGUGAGCUUUGCUCGCGGCGAGCUUCUUAGAGGGACUAUGAUGCGCGAUAGCACAUGGAAGUUUGGGGCAAUAACAGGUCUGUGAUGCCCUUAGAUGUUCUGGGCCGCACACGGGCUACACUGGCGCCUGCAACGAGCAUAUCAGCUGGCCCGAGAGGGUCUUGGCUAAUCUUUUGAACCGGCGCCGUGCUUGGGAUUGACCUUUGCAAUUGUUGGUCAUGCAACGAGGAAUGCCUUGUAAACGCGAGUCAUCAGCUCGCAUUGAAUACGUCCCUGCCCUUUGUACACACCGCCCGUCGCUCCUACCGAUGAAUGUUCCGAUGAAAUUUUCGGAGAGCACCUGUGAACUUGGCUCUGCCUUGCGAACGGGAGGCUCAAAGUCACUUAAAUCUGAACAUUUCGAGG